CACUCUAGAGAGACUGCCAGGGAUAACCUGGAGGAAGGUGGGGAUGACGUCAAAUCAUCAUGCCCCUUAUGCUUAGGGCUACACACGUGCUACAAUGGGUAGUACAGAGGGUUGCCAAGCCGUAAGGCGGAGCUAAUCCCUUAAAGCUACUCUCAGUUCGGAUUGUAGGCUGAAACUCGCCUACAUGAAGCUGGAGUUACUAGUAAUCGCAGAUCAGAAUGCUGCGGUGAAUGCGUUCCCGGGUCUUGUACACACCGCCCGUCACACCACGGGAGUUGGAGACGCCCGAAGCCGAUUAUCUAACCUUUUGGAAGAAGUCGUCGAAGGUGGAAUUAAUAACUGGGGUGAAGUCGUAACAAGGUAGCCGUAUCGGAAGGUGCGGCUGGAUCACCUCCUUUCUAAGGAGA
rnacentral:rRNA from 1 species